rnacentral:rRNA from 1 species
GACGAACGUUGGCGGCGUGCUUAAUACAUGCAAGUCAACUGAAGCAGUGGUAGCAAUAUCGCUGUGGAGGUGGCGCACGGGUGAGUAACGCGUAGGUAAUCUGCCUUCAGGUCUGGCAUAACUCCGGGAAACCGGGGCUAAUAGCAGAUGAUGCAGCGGCUCGACAUGGAGACAGUUGUUAAAGCUAUGGCGCCGGAAGAUGAGCCUGCGUCUGAUUAGCUAGUUGGGGGGGUAACGGCCCACCAAGGCAAGGAUCAGUGGCUGGUCUGAGAGGAUGAUCAGCCACACUGGAACUGAGACACGGUCCAGACUACUACGCGAGGCAGCAGUAAGGAAUAUUGCUCAAUGGGAGAAAUCCUGAAGCAGCAACGCCGCGUGAGGGACGAAGGGCUUUUGCUUGUAAACCUCUGUAGUGAGAGAAAAAAAUCCCAAUCUUUGGGACAUGAUGGUAUCUCAAAAGUAAGCCCCGGCUAACUACGUG